AAAAGGUUUCAAAGAUAACAGCUCUUUCCUUUUUCUUUUUUUUCUUUAAAUGAACAAGGGAGUACUGAUGCCGGGGACUUGCUCUUUAAAUAAAUGGAAUCUUUCUCUCCUCUCUUGGCAACGGGCAGGAGUAUUCUUGUGCUGUAUGACAAGGCUCGCUAGCCAGUGCUAUAUUUAUCUUGUAGCUGUACACACAUUUGCAAAAGGUCGCUCAAUAAGAAAAAGAAUGAUCCAAGGGAGUUUAAACUGAAGAAAGUUUCUUCCACCAUAGUCUAAGUUUUGGGUUGGCUUAAAGGCAAGGCUACAUACUUUUGGAAGCUCAGAAAAUAUACUUACUGAUAUGAAACAAAAAGUUCCCUGAGUUUUCUGUGGAAAGAUCAGGACUUUGUCAAGGAGGGAAAAUAUCUUUGAUAAAAUGGAUUUAAAUAGGUGCCCAAGUGCAUCAGUAGAAGAGGAUCAAAGACAAGGGGAUGGGGAGGAUGCUACUGCUGAUGCUGGCAAUUGCGUUGUCAGUGAAGAGCUGGAUCUGGUACAAAUGUAUCUUACCUGUUUACCGGACACCUACAUGAAAGCUAAAUUCACCCUGACAGCAUACCUGGCAUGCUGGUUAGUUCUGAAACUCUGCAAGCAUGAAAAUUGCUUGACUUGAGUUUUCCUCAAAGAGAGCCUGUGAGAAAGGAGACUCUGCUUCUAAAAAGGUAGGAUUUCUUUUUAGUCAGACUGAAUAAUUUUUCAUUUCAUCAGACUAUUGUUAGUAGUUCUGUUUGUCUGCCAAUGCCA
rnacentral:lncRNA from 1 species